CCCUUAGUUGUUCUGGGCCGCACACGCGCUACACUGAAGGAGGCAGCGUGUACUCCUGGAUCGAAAGAUUUGGGUAACCCGCGAAUCUCCUUCGUGCUAGGGAUUGAGGUUUGCAAUUAUCCUUCAUGAACGAGGAAUUCCCAGUAAGUGCAAGUCAUAAGCUUGCGCUGACUACGUCCCUGCCCUUUGUACACACCGCCCGUCGCUACUACCGAUUGAAUGAUUUAGUGAGGACUUCGGACUGGGACCGAUGCGGCUUUCGGGCUGCGUCGGUAUUCUGGAAAGAUGUCCAAACUGUAUCAUUUAGAGGAAGUAAAAGUCGUAACA
rnacentral:rRNA from 1 species